CAUCAGGCAAGGCAAUAUAAUAUUCCAUUUUCUUCACGUGCUCAAAUUUGCUAAGCUAGUUCCUGAUUGUGGGAUACAUGGUUGGGCUCACAUAUUUUCCCACCGAUAGACAAGAGAUUACCAGAAAAGGGGUGAGGAAUCCAGAGAGAAUGUCUGCAUAAGAAGGAGGGUGGAGAUUUCUUACUGAACUAAAGGCUUCAAGAAUUGGCAAAUACCUGCUCACCCUUUUGAGAUGUUUUUCCAGACUUUUGUAUUUCUGAUGACUGGAUGACUCCACCUGGACCCGAGACUCAUGACUCACCCAGUCCUGUGGCCCCACCCAGAAGUGGACUCAGAGCAAGAGGACCAUUUUCCACACCCCAAUGAGUGCAUCCCCAACCAAUCAGCAGCACCUGUUCCCUAGCCCCCUGACCACCAAACUCUCCUUGAGAAACCGUAGCCUCCAAAUUUUCUGGGAGGCUGAUUUGAGUAAUAAUAAAACUUUGGUCUCCUAUGUAGCUGGCUCUAUGUGUAUUAAACUCUUCCUCUAUUGCAAUUCCCCUGCCUUGGUAAGUCGG
rnacentral:lncRNA from 10 species